UCAUGUUUAGAGUAGGAAGAAUGACAUCUUGUAAAGGCACCUUUUCAUGUGUGGACAGACCAUAAAAAUGUAGGUAGGGGCUUCUUGUCCCCAGUGGGUGCCCCUGUGGCAUUCGGGGUUGUCUCGCUGCUCUGUUAUCAAGCGGAUCUGUUUGGAAAAAAAAGAAAGAAAAACAAAACUAAAGUACAACCAACUCCUACUUGGCCACCUCAGACCAGACACUAUUUGGUUGUGUGGGACCAAAUGUCAAGCAAGACAAAGGCGGCAAGUAUACAGUGAGUUAGACUAUUGUGGAGAAAGAGCAGGAUUAAAACCAGUGUGGACAAUAGUGACAUUUCUGUCGGUCCAGUGGGUGCAACACACCCACUUGCUUAUUCUGAAAACCUUGUGGGGUGCAAGCUCUGGUAGUUAGCACGCCUGCUAUUAAAAUGCACUACUGAGCCAUUAGCUUGCUUAUUCUUAAUAACUGCAAUUUUGUGAGUCAAUCUAGAUGAAAAUAGUUUAAUUAAAAGUUGCCCUAAUUAGUACAAUUAUUGCACCAAAUAAAGAGGAUAACAUGCUGAUGUUCCUCUGAAGCACACUUCUUUUUCACCUCUCCCCUUCUAUUGAAAGAUUUAGCAUCUGGCUGACUCAGUAAACUACUGAUUCAUUAGUUUAUGCUUGGGGGAUGAGAAAGUUACUUUCAGUAGAAUUAAACCUACAACCUACUGAUGUAAGAGACUCCUUGUGAGGUUCCUCAUACUGUAAAUCAAUCAAUUUCUCCCAGUUCAAGGCUUUGGAGGACCAGCUAAACUUGUCUUUGUACCAUGAGGGCUCAAGAAUUGUUUCUUUUUCUUCCAGAUAGUGUAGAUGGUUCUUGUUGUAAGACAGCUGAGGUGAGGAGCUGUGGUAGAAUGGAUGUACAGGAUAUGAAAGCUAAUAAAAACUCUUUUUUUACACAGGACCAUGAACUACCUGGUAAUACAAGAUCAACUGUGCAGACAGACGGGGAGAUUCCUGCUCCAAUCACAUUGAUUCUUUUAAAAAAUAUUUAUUUCUGUAUUUAUAUCAUGGUAUCAGCAUCUUCUUAUUUAGCUUUACACUAUAAAGGAGACAAGAAGUAGACAGCUCUUCCAGCCAGUUGACUCAGCCACUGAAAUUUAAGACCUAAUUAGAUCCUCACACCUCUGGUCCAAAGCAACUUGGAAGUAUUAAACCACUAAGGCACUUAAGCUGAUGCCUAACUUGAAGUGUGCUCUUGCUUUGCAACGAGAGUUCACCUACAACAACACAAAUACAACACAAGCAAGGGAUCUGCUUGUAACAGAGCUGUUACUUGACGAGAUCCUGAUGAACUUGGACUCAUUUCAUAAGAUGCACCUAGAGAUUUCACUCCAAAAGAACAAACUGCUGACAAAAGUUCCCAUGGCGGAAAGAAGAAAAUGGGCAUCGGUUUAGAUUGUCUCUGCCAGGAAAUACAUAAUAAUGCUGUCAUUCUUAAGAGAACUCUGCAGCAGCAGGCUCAGACAGCUACAAAGUAGAGCACAUGUAUGGAUUUGUCAUCCUGCCCUACUCUUAAACAACAUUGGCUUCUUUGUCAAUUGUGAGGAAACGAGGGGGAAAGCCCCUUGGAGGUGUCCGUAUGUCUGCAACAGGGAAUCCGGCCAGCUCGCAGAAGCUGCCUCUCCUCCAGGAACCGCAUUCUGAGGCAAAUUCCCAGCUUAUUAAAAAAUAGUUCUCUUAUUUUGCCAUCUUGUUUGUUCUACGAUUCCACCAUAUUCUUCCCCUGGCUCGUUUAUUUUGCCUCUGGCUUUUUUUGGGGGAAAAAAAAUAAUAAAAUGAACAACAAACACCAAGAAAUUAUUAAACAGAUAUUGGUUUUGGGCUUUGUGUCACUUCCAAAGUUGUGUAGGAAUUGAUAGGAAGGUCCAACAUUCAGAUGCUCUUUGUCCUGUGAAGAGCUGUUUGCA